rnacentral:rRNA from 1 species
AUGGCCGGUCAACGCAGCUCCUCCUCUCGCGCCCCUAGCUCCAAGCCUGGAGAUUGGGAGAGAUGUUCCGUCCCGCACAGCAAGUUAGUGAUGCUUCAGACCAAGGGAUUUCUUCCCCCAGUGUACCUAGUCCCGGUUCCAGCCGGGCUUGCCACCUAUAAUGGCGGAGAGCAAGCGGAGAUCCUUCCCAAUCCCUCCAAGGGAGAGCGGGUUUGCCUUGUCCCUUAUUUGGUAAGAGGGCUCGGAUUCCCAAUUCAUCCGUUUCUCCGGGGGCUCCUGAAGUUCUACGGCCUCCAGUUGCACAAUCUUACCCCCGCCUCCCUGCUGCAUAUCGCGGGAUUCGUAGCCCUUUGCGAGUUGUUUUUGGUCUGUGAAGCUCAUUUCGCUCUAUGGAAGAAGCUGUUCUGCCUUGUGCUCCGUUCUCAGAAGGGGUCAAUAUAUCAAGUGGGCGGAGCCGAAGUGUUGCGUAUUGCCGGGACCGGAUACCUGUCUGGGACCCCAAAGAAGACAUUCGAAGACUGGACUUCAGAAUGGUUUUAUAUAAAAGACGUCCCCCUUCCGGAUCCUAUUCGGAUCGGCCUUCCUGAGUUCGGUAACGCCCCUUUGAAGAAGCGCCGGAGCUGGCGUCCACGGAGCUCCCUGGAGGAAGAUGACAGGGGCAUUCUUUACCUGAUGAGCCGGAUAAGUUUUCUAGCUCGAUCCGGAUUGACCAUGAUCGAGGUCAUGGCCACAUGCAUCAUGCGGGGGGUGCAGCCGCUUCAGUAUAGAGGCCACCCCAUGUGGGAUUUCAAUGGGGAGGACGACGCCACCCGCCACGGCCGCAAAGGGCCGGGAUCAGCUGCCGAUCUAAUAAAGAUCUUAUCCACUUUGUACAAGGGAGAAGAGGAGGAAUUCCUUCGUGUCAACCCGCAGGGCAGAUUUUCUAUGUACAAUCCUCCAAGCUGGGUAAGCGGAGACUUUUUAUCGCCCAUCCAUUUCGUAUUCCCGUAG